GCUCUAGGUUCAUACUCUCACUUUCUCACUCUGAUCGACAGCAACCAGAUUAAAGACCUUUAUGUUAGAGCCUGUGAUGCAUGCAAAAGAGAAUCUAGCCACCUGCUAAAGAUCUGCUGGGAAUUGUGAUGGCAGCCAGUGCACCAUUUCCCCCAUAUGCCCAUUAUCUCCCUGUGGUCAGACUUGUCCUGCUGGGGUCUGUAGAUGAAGGGAAGAGGUCCGCUGGAAACACCAUCCUGGGAAGAGAGGAGUUUAGCUCUCAGAAAACUGCUGAAUGUGUGACAAAACAUGGAUGGGUGGGACCAAGACAGGUCACUGUUAUUAACACACCAGGCUGGGGCAGAGAGCAGCGUCUUUCUCAAACCCCUGUGAAUGUUAGACAGCAGCUUUUGCAGAGUGUGUUUCCUCCAGGAGCCCAUGCUCUGAUCUUGGUCAUACGUGCAGACAGGAAGUUCACAGAGUCCAACAGGGUAGCACUGCAAGAUCAUAUGGAGCUUCUUGGGGAGAGGGUGUGGAAUCACACCAUUGUGCUGUUCACCUGUGGGGACUGGCUGGGUGACACCCCGAUUGAGCAGUUCAUUCAUAGUGAAGGUAUGCCUCUCCAGUGGGUUGUGGAGAAAAGUAGCUAUAAGUAUUACUGCAUCAAUAAUAGUGACAGAGCAGAUACCACCCAGGUCACAAGGCUGCUUGAGCUGAUAGAGAUAAUGGUGGCAGGAAACCAAGGCCAUUUUGAACUUGACAAAGAGACACAUGACAGAGAGACAGAGAGAGUACAAGCUCAAGAACAAGCGAUACGAGAGAUGCAACAGAAGGCUGAGCAAAUGAGGAUGAAAUGGGGCUCUCAACCACGACCCUAGAGAAAAGUGACUUAAAGAAAUACUCUAUACUAUUUAGAGUUGUUAAUUGCAUUGGUUUUGCUAUUUUGCAUUAAAAUGUAAUUAUUAUAUAUUUUUUAUCGAGAGUGGUCUAGCAGAGCCCCCCUGCCUGAAUCUGACUAGCUAAGAGUAAGACCCAAAUCAAGAGGACACUCAAUUUCAUAUGGAAGCCACACAAGUAGAAAGUAUUAGAACUAUCAGCUGUACAACAAACUCUUCAACAAUCUGUAAAUCUAUAGUGUGCAGCAUCUAGUGGAGAAAUGACUGAAUUGUAACCAACUGAAUGCCACUCCGUUUCCAUGCCAAGCAGGCGGGGGGAUGGCUGAAAUGGCUCAUGUUUUACAUCUUCUGUGUGUAUGAUUUUUUGUUUUAGUAUUUGUUUGAUUUCUGGAUUUCUGAAUUUGUUGAAUGCCAAAACUUUGUAACCCAGCUUCAGUAGGCCUGUACCUUACUGCUGUAAUUUGUCACAGUGUGAAAUGACGAUAUACAGUAAAUAACAAAUGUUAUACUUUCAAAUGUAACCAAUAACAUUAAAAUAAUACAUUUACUUUUA